AUUGAACGCUGGCGGCAGGCCUAACACAUGCAAGUCGAGCGGAUGAAGGGAGCUUGCUCCUGGAUUCAGCGGCGGACGGGUGAGUAAUGCCUAGGAAUCUGCCUGGUAGUGGGGUAUAACGUCCGGAAACGGGCGCUAAUACCGCAUACGUCCUGAGGGAGAAAGUGGGUGAUCUUCGGACCUCACGCUAUCAGAUGAGCCUAGGUCGGAUUAGCUAGUUGGUGGGGUAAAGGCCUACCAAGGCGACGAUCCGUAACUGGUCUGAGAGGAUGAUCAGUCACACUGGAACUGAGACACGGUCCAGACUCCUACGGGAGGCAGCAGUGGGGAUUAUUGGACAGUGGGCGAAAGCCUGAUCCAGCCAUGCCGCGUGUGUGAAGAAGGUCUUCGGAUUGUAAAGCACUUUAAGUUGGGAGGAAGGGCAGUAAGUUAAUACCUGGCUGUUUUGACGUUACCAACAGAAUAAGCACCGGCUAACUUCGU
rnacentral:rRNA from 1 species